rnacentral:tRNA from 1 species
GGGGCGGUAGCUCAGCCGGUCAGAGCAGGGGACUCAUAAUCCCCGGGUCGUGGGUUCGAGCCCCACCCGCCCCA